CACGCAGGCGGUGACUUAAGUGAGGUGUGAAAGCCCCGGGCUUAACCUGGGAAUUGCAUUUCAUACUGGGUCGCUAGAGUACUUUAGGGAGGGGUAGAAUUCCACGUGUAGCGGUGAAAUGCGUAGAGAUGUGGAGGAAUACCGAAGGCGAAGGCAGCCCCUUGGGAAUGUACUGACGCUCAUGUGCGAAAGCGUGGGGAGCAAACA
rnacentral:rRNA from 2 species